rnacentral:rRNA from 1 species
CCUACGGGCUGCACCAGUGGGGAAUAUUGCACAAUGGGCGCAAGCCUGAUGCAGCCAUGCCGCGUGUAUGAAGAAGGCCUUCGGGUUGUAAAGUACUUUCAGCGGGGAGGAAGGCGAUAGGGUUAAUAACCUUGUCGAUUGACGUUACCCGCAGAAGAAGCACCGGCUAACUCCGUGCCAGCAGCCGCGGUAAUACGGAGGGUGCAAGCGUUAAUCGGAAUUACUGGGCGUAAAGCGCACGCAGGCGGUUGAUUGAGUCAGAUGUGAAAUCCCCGGGCUUAGCCCGGGAAUUGCAUCUGAUACUGGUCAGCUAGAGUCUUGUAGAGGGGGGUAGAAUUCCAUGUGUAGCGGUGAAAUGCGUAGAGAUGUGGAGGAAUACCGGUGGCGAAGGCGGCCCCCUGGACAAAGACUGACGCUCAGGUGCGAAAGCGUGGGGAGCAAACAGGAUUAGAUACCCCAGUAGUC